ACCCAACUCAAAAUUAGAAAUUAGCUCAAACCCAUUAAUAGAAAUUAGUUUAAAUCCAAGAUUAAAAUAGAGUAUUGCAUACCCAAUUUUUGAAAUCUAAAAAUCUAUUCACUAAUCAAGGUAUUUACAAGGAAAAUCUGAAAAUAAAACAAAGAAACAUGAAAUUAAUAAAGGAAAAGAAAAACUCAAAUGAAUAACUCUUCAAAUGACGAAAAUUCAUGUCCAAAGAGCUUCCAUUGGUGAAAUUGCAGCUGCUCCCUUGUUCUCUCAAAGUGAUUCACAUGAAAAUGGAGAAGAAGGUGAAAAUGGUGAAAAAUAGAGGGAGAAAGGUUGUAGUUGUUACCUCUUUAUUCUAGGGUCUUCUCCCUUCUAAAAACUAAAGAAAAAUAUUAUUUAUAUGUCCUAAAA
rnacentral:lncRNA from 1 species